rnacentral:tRNA from 1 species
UCCGUGGUAGCUCAGCGGUAGAGCAAGCGACUGUUAAUCGCUUGGUCGUAGGUUCGAUCCCUACCCACGGAGCCC